rnacentral:rRNA from 1 species
UACGUAGGGGGCAAGCGUUGUCCGGAUUUAUUGGGCGUAAAGAGCGUGUAGGCGGUUUGGUAGGUCCGCUGUGAAAACUCGAGGCUCAACCUCGAGACGCUGGAGUGAAACCAUCAGACUAGAGUCCGGAAGAGGAGAGUGGAAUUCCUGGUGUAGCGGUGAAAUGCGCAGAUAUCAGGAAGAACACCCGUGGCGAAGGCGGCUCUCUAGUACGGUACUGACGCUGAGACGCGAAAGCGUGGGGAGCGAACAGG